CUUUGUGUGACUCUGAGGGAUAAGAACCAAGGAGAGAAAUGGAGGGAAAAGUCUAAGGACCAAUAGAGGAGUGAUGGGAAAUCUAAACAGUGUGAAGAAUUAGAAAGGAAACAGAAUAGUACAGUGCAAGUCGGCAUUACAAGUAUAGGAUAGGUGGAAGUGCAUUUAGACCCAGUAUUAGCUACAGCCUUCUUAAUUGCAGGCGAAAUCCAUGGUUUCUGCAAGCUUUAAAUUUGGGGAUUUGCUAGCUCGCUCGGGAGGAGAAAGUUAAUACAUAGCAAAUUCUCAUUGCUAUAACCAGAAGUCACCUUGAGAGGGUUCCUAUUGUUAGGAACCAGGCUGUUCUGGGAAGCAGAAAACUUGGAAACAUUACAAUUUGGAGUUUUUGUGUAUACUCACCACUGGAGCAAGACCAGUCUCAGGUGGUGUGGCAAGGACCUAAGUUAGAGCAUUAGGAUGAGGGUAGCAAAAUGUUCUGGCUUGUGUGCCUCCCUGCUUGGGCAGAACCCAGUUUUUGACUGUCCCACCACACAUGCACUGAGGCACAUGAAUGUAUAAUAUGGCUUGGAUAUUUGCCAUGCCUCCCUUGCACAUGCUGAAGUCUGUGAGGCUGAAUAUAUGCCUGUCCUAUUGAUAAUAUGGGUUACCAGUGACAAAUACUGCUUCCUCUCAUAUUGAAGUAUAAUAUUAGAAAAGCUUGCCAAGGCACACAUAUAAAGCAGGGUUUAUUUAAAAAGGGGUAACAUAGACUUCUCCCAGGAAGGAGAAGGGGGUCAUAGUAUCCCAAUAAGCGAUGGUGUUUUGCCUUUUUAUAUGUCCUAUCCUUUCUUUGUUUUCCUGUCUCUUCCUCUUAUCUCUCUCCUUCCUGAGUAGAUGACGAGGCCCAGGAGAUGCUCUGUGGGAUGGACAAAAGGUGAGAAGCACAUGGACAGGGAAAGGGCUGGUUGGAGCAGCCCAGGACACAUAAUUAACAACUUACAAUUCCCUAUAGGGAGGGGCAAUUCCUGGGACUGGUUACCUUAGCAACAGGUUGGACCAGGGGCAGGUUCUUGAUAAGGGUGGAGGAAGGGCUCAGAAGGAAUUAACAUUUCAAUCCUUCCAUUCUGUGGAUCUGACCCUUGCCUAUCUGCCUAAUUCUGGCUUCACUAUGCCACACUUAUAAUGCCAAAAAUUAGAAAGGCUUUCUUCUGCUUGGAUGUUGAGCAUGCUCCCAAGUGUAUAGACUCAAGUCCACAGAGUUUAAAAUAGGCCUGCCCAGCACAGCUAACAUACCUAACAAGGUCUUGAUGUAGAUCAGAUAUUGUGUUCCAGUGUCCAGACUAAAAUCUGUUAUCCUUAAUAUUGAUCUGUCUAGCAUGAGCCUGGCAUGACCACAUAAUGCCAAAGCUAGGCCAGAGAGAAAGGCUUGCUGUGGCUGGAGAUUAACCCACCCCUGAGCAUGCAGACCAAAGGGCUUCUGGAACUAGUGUAUGCGUGCUUGGAAAGAAGUGUCUCCAAACCGAACAUCUCAGGAGAAAUUUUCGACACUUCUUUUACCUUUCAUUCUUUUUCUAUUUACUCCAUUGAUUCUAUCAUCUAUUAUUGUGUUAUUUUUCAUUAUUUUUCCUUAGUUUUAAUUUUUAUGUUAUACUGUAAUAGUAUGUUUU
rnacentral:lncRNA from 1 species